AACGAACGCUGGCGGCAGGUCUUAGGCAUGCAAGUCGAACGGGUGAAACAGGUGCUUGCACUUGUGGAUCUAGUGGCGCACGAGUGAGUAACGCGUGGGAAACUGCCCACCACUGGGGAAUAACGUUUGGAAACGAACGCUAAUACCGCAUACGCCGGAAACGGGAAAGAUUUAUCGGUGGUGGAUGUGCCCGCGUUGGAUUAGCUUGUUGGUGGGGUAAUGGCCUACCAAGGCAAUGAUCAGUAGCCGGCCUGAGAGGGUGACCGGCCACAUUGGGACUGAGACACGGCCCAAACUCCUACGGGAGGCAGCAGUGGGGAAUAUUGCACAAUGGGGGAAACCCUGAUGCAGCAACGCCGCGUGAGUGAAGAAGUAUUUCGGGUAUGUAAAAGCUCUAUCAGCAGGGAAGAAGAAAGACGGUACCUGACUAAGAAGCACCGGCUAAAUACGUG
rnacentral:rRNA from 1 species